CUUUAGUAGCAUGGCAAACGGGAGAGUAACACAUUGGUAAUCUACCUCUAUCUUAGGGAUAAUCCAGAGAAAUUUGGGAUAAUACCUAAUAGUCAUAAGUAAUAUAAAUUAUCUUAUGUAAAGUUCCGGCGGAUAGAGAGGAGCCUAUGGCCCAUCAGUUUGUUGGUAAGGUAAAAGCUUACCAAGGCGAUGACGGGUAUCGGGUGUGAGAGCAUGGCCCGACUCACUGGGACUGAGACACUGCCCAGACUCCUACGGGAGGCUGCAGUCAAGAAUCUUCCUCAAUGGACGAAAGUCUGAAGGAGCAAUGCCGCGUGGUAGAUGAAGCUUUUCGGAGUGUAAAUACCUUUUAUCAGGGAAGAAUCCGGACGGUACCUGAGGAUAAGUCACUGCUACUNAGG
rnacentral:rRNA from 1 species